UGCAGUGUAGUAUUUUUACUACAUUUUAAUACUUUUAAUAUUUAUAACAUUUGGAUCUGCUGCUGCCUUAUGGCUGCCGUGUGAGGACCUAGUGAGAUUCAAUACAUUGUUGGAGAUUAAGAGUGAGAGAACACCAGAGAAUAACUGUGGGUAGAAUGAAGGGUUUGAGCAUCACUAAGUCACAGCCAGGUGAUCAACAUCCAUCCUGAGUUAUCCAAUCACAAGUUGUCGAUGCUACGAUACAGGUCUGAAUGUGUCUGAACGCAUCCUGAGAUCUGAGACUCAGUGAGCAGGAGGUAGGAGACUGAAGUCUCUGUUUAUAUUCCUGUGCUCAGGUGUUGUCUACUCCAUCAGAACAUGUCGCUGCUCACAAACUGUUGAUAGUGUUGUCUUAUCACGUCUCCUCUUCUCUCUUCAGGUAACCAUGCUGAAAGUCAUCAGUGACCUGGAUUCGGAUCUCACCAACAUGGUCAAGUUCCAUGAAGAAUUCCAGCACCUGGACCAGACAUGUUUGGUGUUUGAGUGGCUGGACAUGAGUCUCUAUGACCUGCUAGAGCAGUGAGAGUGGGAACACCGUCCUCUUCAUGAGAUCCGCCCAGUUUCCAAGCAGCUCUUGGUGGCCUUGGAUGCCCUGAAGGGUCUCGGGGUCCUGCACACGGACAUAAAACCAGACAACGUUAUGUUCGUGAACAGGAAGGAUCAGCCCAGAAGUUAAUUGACUUUGGCUCCGCCAUGGUGGCGUCCCAAGUCCAGCUGGGGCUGGAGAUCCAGCCGUGUGGGUACAUAUGAAGAACAUGGGGACAGUGCUGGGCCAGCCGCAGGACCACCUGCUCCGUGCUGGCAGGUGCAGCAAGCAGUUCUUCAUCGAAGAGGAGGGUGAAGACAGUCCAUCAUGGAGACUGAUGAUCACUAAAGGAGACUAUGCGCUUAUGUGGAAACGUUAUGUCGUCACGGACGUGAACCCCAGCCUUGGAUGGAGACUACGUAUUUUCACUGAGCGGGAAAAACGUGACGUCAACCUUAUAAGGAAAGUCCUCCCUCUGCCCCUGGAUUUUCCUGUUUGAGCUCACCUUCGUAGGCUAACAUAAACAAUGGCUUCUCUCCCUCCCUCUUGCUCCAUUACUCUCUCCUGCUCCUAGUAUCUACUGUUUACCUACUCCUUUGCCUCCUUUAACCCCUGUAUGUCGUUCGGG